CUGAGAGAAGAGAGACAGAGAACGAGGGAGACAGCGAGGCGAGGAGGCAGCACAUCACACCAGGCGCGAUUUGCAUCCCAAAAUCUGCUGCUGCCUGAGCUCUUUCCCGGGUCACCGCAGAGGAGACACGUGCAACCUGGGAUCCAAAUCAGUAGACACAAAAACACAGCCACACAUGCUGCCAGAGGCAACGAGCGGACCGUUUUGCUGAGGAAGACCUGCGAGGCGCCUUCUUCCACGUUGGCAUCUGGAGCAGUGAUGUGAAAAGCGCACCGAGACUGAAGGCUCUGCUGGUUCACAGAGGUCCUCCAUCACCAAAAACAAAAAGGGACGAGUUCUCACACCAAGUACAGAGCAGCGAGCAAUGAGGAAGAAAGAAAAGAGGUGCUUGUCCAAUCACAGAUGCAGAUGGCCACAGAAGACAUGAGUACCAGCCAAUCUGGCACCAGGACGACUUCCUCUUGCCAAUUUAUACACAACAAAUCAAAUGCAACCCCCUAAUUAAACAAUUGAUACCAUUUACCUCGGCACACGUUCUGCCAAUGAAGUGAUAUGUACCACUCAAUUCUACUUUGAUAGAUUCUUCAUUUCUUACAUGAGUUUUAUACAACUCAACGUGUAACCACAAGACAAGAUAAGCAGAAACACAUUUCACCAUGCUGUGACUUCAAGCGGUAUAGAUACACAUCUGACGAACAAGGCAACAUCAAGUUACCACACGCUGAGAUAUUAGCGUACGAACGAGCCCUCACUCCCUCGCAAAUGGCGCAAGCCUGAAUGAAUAAAUGUUAGAUGGCAAGCAUCUCUGCUCGGCUUUCUCCAAUGGCUGUUGUGACGACAUCCCAAAUGGCCCAGAAGACAGGACAGGGACGGCAGAGACAUAACGUGAC